rnacentral:RNase_P_RNA from 1 species
GGAGUCGGCUAGGCAAUCGCUAUCUAUUUAUAGGUAGAGGAAAGUCCGGGCACCAAAGGGUAGAGUGCCAGAUAACGUCUGGGGGGUGAAAGCCCACGGAAAGUGCAGCAGAGAGUAGACCGCCUAAGCUUCUUCGGAAGCCGGUAAGGCUGAAAGGGUGCGGUAAGAGCGCACCGCGUAACUGGUAACAGCUUACGGCAAGGUAAACCCCACUCGGUGCAAGACCAAAUAGGCCUCCGUUGGCGCGACCCGCGCUGGAGGCGGGUAGGUUGCUUGAGACUAUCGGUGACGAUAGUCCUAGAGGAAUGAUUGCUCACGACAGAACCCGGCUUAUCGGUUGGCUCCCAAA